rnacentral:rRNA from 1 species
AGAGCGAACGCUGGCGGCAGGCCUAACACAUGCAAGUCGAGCGCCCGUAGCAAUACGGGAGCGGCAGACGGGAUAGUAACACGUGGGAACGCGCCCUUCGGUUCGGAAUAACUCAGGGAAACUUGAGCUAAUACCGGAUACGCCCUUACGGGGAAAGAUUUAUUGCCGAAGGAACGGCCCGCGUCCGAUUAGCUAGUUGGUGAGGUAAUGGCUCACCAAGGCGACGAUCGGUAGCUGGUCUGAGAGGAUGACCAGCAUCACUGGGACUGAGACACGGCCCAGACUCCUACGGGAGGCAGCAGUGGGGAAUAUGGACAAUGGGCGCAAGCCUGAUCCAGCCAUGCCGCGUGGAUGAUGAAGGCCUUAGGGUUGUAAAGUCCUGUCGGAGGGGAAGAACACAAUGACGGUACCCUCCAAGAAAGCCCCGGCUAACUACGUGCCAGCAGCCGC